GACGAACGCUGGCGGCGUGCCUAAUACAUGCAAGUAGAACGCUGAAGGAGGAGCUUGCUUCUCUGGAUGAGUUGCGAACGGGUGAGUAACGCGUAGGUAACCUGCCUGGUAGCGGGGGAUAACUAUUGGAAACGAUAGCUAAUACCGCAUAAUAGUAGAUGUUGCAUGACAUUUGCUUAAAAGGUGCAAUUGCAUCACUACCAGAUGGACCUGCGUUGUAUUAGCUAGUUGGUGGGGUAACGGCUCACCAAGGCGACGAUACAUAGCCGACCUGAGAGGGUGAUCGGCCACACUGGGACUGAGACACGGCCCAGACUCCUACGGGAGGCAGCAGUAGGGAAUCUUCGGCAAUGGACGGAAGGCUGACCGAGCAACGCCGCGUGAGUGAAGAAGGUUGUCGGAUCGGAAAGCUCUGUUGUAAGAGAAGAAAGAGUGUGAGAGUGGAAAGUUCACACUGUGACGGUAUCUUACCAGAAAGGGACGGCUAACUACGUG
rnacentral:rRNA from 1 species